rnacentral:rRNA from 1 species
UACAGAGGGUGCAAGCGUUAAUCGGAAUUACUGGGCGUAAAGCGUGCGUAGUCGGUUAUCUAAGUCGGGUGUGAAAUCCCGGGCUCAACCUGGGAAUUGCAUUCGAUACUGGAUAGCUAGAGUUCGGCAGGAGGGAAGCGGAAUUUCGGGUGUAGCGGUGAAAUGCGUAGAUAUCCGAAGGAACAUCAGUGGCGAAAGCGGCUUCCUGGACCAGAACUGACGAUCAGGCACGAAAGCGUGGGGAGCAAACAGGG